CCUAACACAUGCAAGUCGAGCGAACCCCUCGGGGUUAGCGGCGGACGGGUUAGUAACGCGUGGGAACGUGCCCAAAGGUACGGAAUAGCAUCGGGAAACUGGUGGUAAUACCGUAUGUGCCCUUCGGGGGAAAGAAUUUCGCCUUUGGAUCGGCCCGCGUAAGAUUAGGUAGUUGGUGAGGUAACGGCUCACCAAGCCUACGAUCUUUAUCUGGUUUGAGAGGAUGAUCAGAAACACUGGGACUGAGACACGGCCCAGACUCCUACGGGAGGCAGCAGUGGGGAAUCUUGGACAAUGGGCGCAAGCCUGAUCCAGCCAUGCCGCGUGAGUGAAGAAGGCCUUAGGGUUGUAAAGCUCUUUCAGGGGUGAGGAUUAUGACAGUAACCCCAGAAGAAGCACCGGCUAACUUCGUGCCAGCAGCCGCGGUAAUACGAAGGGUGCAAGCGUUGUUCGGAAUCACUGGGCGUAAAGGGCGUGUAGGCGGAUGGACAAGUUAGAGGUGAAAGCCCCGGGCUCAACCUGGGAACUGCCUUUAAAACUGUUCAUCUAGAAUCCGGGAGGGGAGUGUGGAAUU
rnacentral:rRNA from 1 species